rnacentral:rRNA from 2 species
UCGUCACACUAUCAUUAACUGAAUCCAUAGGUUAAUGAGGCGAACCGGGGGAACUGAAACAUCUAAGUACCCCGAGGAAAAGAAAUCAACCGAGAUUCCCCCAGUAGCGGCGAGCGAACGGGGAGGAGCCCAGAGCCUGAAUCAGCAUGUGUGUUAGUGGAAGCGUCUGGAAAGGCGCGCGAUACAGGGUGACAGCCCCGUACACAAAAGCGCAUGUGUUGUGAGCUCGAUGAGUAGGGCGGGACACGUGGUAUCCUGUCUGAAUAUGGGGGGACCAUCCUCCAAGGCUAAAUACUCCUGACUGACCGAUAGUGAACCAGUACCGUGAGGGAAAGGCGAAAAGAACCCCGGCGAGGGGAGUGAAAAAGAACCUGAAACCGUGUACGUACAAGCAGUGGGAGCACCCUUUGGGGUGUGACUGCGUACCUUUUGUAUAAUGGGUCAGCGACUUAUAUUCUGUAGCAAGGUUAACCGAAUAGGGGAGCCGGAGGGAAACCGAGUCUUAAUUGGGCGUUAAGUUGCAGGGUAUAGACCCGAAACCCGGUGAUCUAGCCAUGGGCAGGUUGAAGGUUGGGUAACACUAACUGGAGGACCGAACCGACUAAUGUUGAAAAAUUAGCGGAUGACCUGUGGCUGGGGGUGAAAGGCCAAUCAAACCGGGAGAUAGCUGGUUCUCCCCGAAAGCUAUUUAGGUAGCGCCUCGUGAAUUCAUCUCCGGGGGUAGAGCACUGUUUCGGCUAGGGGGCCAUCCCGGCUUACCAACCCGAUGCAAACUGCGAAUACCGGAGAAUGUUAUCACGGGAGACACACGGCGGGUGCUAACGUCCGUCGUGAAGAGGGAAACAACCCAGACCGCCAGCUAAGGUCCCAAAGUCAUAGUUAAGUGGGAAACGAUGUGGGAAGGCCCAGACAGCCAGGAUGUUGGCUUAGAAGCAGCCAUCAUUUAAAGAAAGCGUAAUAGCUCACUGGUCGAGUCGGCCUGCGCGGAAGAUGUAACGGGGCUAAAC